AGCUCCAAUAGCGUAUAUUAAAGUUGUUGCAGUUAAAAAGCUCGUAGUUGAAUUUCUGAUAGAAGGGAGCGGUUCCGCAUUCUUGCGGAUACUGGCUCGUCUUCCGUCAUCCUUGGGCUUAGUCUCGCUGAUAUUAACUUAUCGGCGUGUACGAUGCCCAUCGUUUACUGUGAGCAAAUUAGAGUGUUCAAAGCAGGCAUUUUGCCAUUGAAUAUAUUAGCAUGGAAUAAUAAGAUAGGAUUUCACGAUUUUAUUUUGUUGGUUUGCGUUGUGAAAUAAUGAUUAAGAGGGACAGUUGUGGGUAUUCGUAUUCAGAUGUCAGAGGUGAAAUUCUUAGAUUAUCGGAAGACGAACGACUGCGAAAGCAUUUGCCAAGAAUGUCUUCA
rnacentral:rRNA from 1 species